CGGACGGGGGAGUAAUGUCUGGGAAACUGCCUGAUGGAGGGGGAUAACUACUGGAAACGGUAGCUAAUACCGCAUAACGUCGCAAGACCAAAGAGGGGACCUUCGGGCCUCUUGCCGUCGGAUGUGCCCAGAUGGGAUUAGCUAGUAGGUGGGGUAACGGCUCACCUAGGCGACGAUCCCUAGCUGGUCUGAGAGGAUGACCAGCCACACUGGAACUGAGACACGGUCCAG
rnacentral:rRNA from 1 species